AGAGUUUGAUCAUGGCUCAGGAUGAACGCUGGCGGCGUGCCUAACACAUGCAAGUCGAGCGAUUUACUUCGGUAAAGAGCGGCGGACGGGUGAGUAACGCGUGGGUAACCUGCCUCAUACACAUGGAUAACAUACCGAAAGGUAUGCUAAUACAAGAUGAUAUAAGAGAUUCGCAUGGAUUUCUUAUCAAAGCUUUUGCGGUAUGAGAUGGACCCGCGUCUGAUUAGCUAGUUGGUAAGGUAACGGCUUACCAAGGCGACGAUCAGUAGCCGACCUGAGAGGGUGAUCGGCCACAUUGGAACUGAGACACGGUCCAAACUCCUACGGGAGGCAGCAGUGGGGAAUAUUGCACAAUGGGCGAAAGCCUGAUGCAGCAACGCCGCGUGAGCGAUGAAGGCCUUCGGGUCGUAAAGCUCUGUCCUCAAGGAAGAUAAUGACGGUACUUGAGGAGGAAGCCCCGGCUAACUACGUGCCAGCAGCCGCGGUAAUACGUAGGGGGCUAGCGUUAUCCGGAUUUACUGGGCGUAAAGGGUGCGUAGGUGGUUUCUUAAGUCAGGAGUGAAAGGCUACGGCUCAACCGUAGUAAGCUCUUGAAACUGGGAAACUUGAGUGCAGGAGAGGAAAGUGGAAUUCCUAGUGUAGCGGUGAAAUGCGUAGAUAUUAGGAGGAACACCAGUAGCGAAGGCGGCUUUCUGGACUGUAACUGGCACUGAGGCACGAAAGCGUGGGGAGCAAACAGGAUUAGAUACCCUGGUAGUCCACGCCGUAAACGAUGAGUAU
rnacentral:rRNA from 1 species